rnacentral:rRNA from 2 species
UGUAGUCAUUAAGCUUGUCUCAAAGAUUAAGCCAUGCAUGUCUAAGUAUAAGCAAUUAUACCGUGAAACUGCGAAUGGCUCAUUAAAUCAGUUAUCGUUUAUUUGAUAAUACCUUACUACUUGGAUAACCGUGGUAAUUCUAGAGCUAAUACAUGCUGAAAAUCCCGACUUCGGAAGGGAUGUGUUUAUUAGAUAAAAAACCAAUGCCCUUCGGGGCUUUUUGGUGAUUCAUGAUAACUUUACGGAUCGCAUAGCCUUGCGCUGGCGACGGUUCAUUCAAAUUUCUGCCCUAUCAACUUUCGAUGGUAAGGUAUUGGCUUACCAUGGUUUCAACGGGUAACGGGGAAUUAGGGUUCGAUUCCGGAGAGGGAGCCUGAGAAACGGCUACCACAUCCAAGGAAGGCAGCAGGCGCGCAAAUUACCCAAUCCCGACACGGGGAGGUAGUGACAAUAAAUACUGAUACAGGGCUCUUUUGGGUCUUGUAAUGGAAUGAGUACAAUAACCUCUAUCAGAACU